rnacentral:lncRNA from 1 species
CGCAGGUCCGCCUACCUUGCAGGCGCGGGGGGGGGGGCGGCUCUACCCUUCCGCAGGCCACUGGGCCUGCUCUGUCUGUCGGUUGCAGGUCUGGCCAGUUCUGUUGGUGGUCGCAGGUCCGCCUACCUUGCAGGCGCGUGGGGCAGCUCUGCCCCUCCACGGGAUGCUGGGCCUGUUCUGCAGGUAGGUCACAGGUCCGCCUACCUUGCAGGCGCAGGGCAUGGCUGUGCCCCUCCGCGGGGCCUCUGGGCCUGUUCUGUCGGUGGUCACAGUUCCGCCUACCUUGCAGGCGCGGGGGGAGGGGGCGGCUCUGCCCCUCAGCAGGCCGCUGUGCCUGUUCUGCAGGUGGGUCGCAGGUCCGCCUACCUUGCAGGCGUGGUUGGCAGCUCUGCCCCUCCGCGGGCCACUAGGUCUGUUCUGUCGGUGGUCACAGUUCCGCCUACCUUGCAGGCGCGGGGGGAGGGGGCGGCUCUGCCCCUCAGCAGGCCGCUGGGCCUGUUCUGUGGGUGGUCACAGUUCCGCCUACCUUGCAGGCGUGGGGGGAGGGGGCGGCUCUGCCCCUCAGCAGGCCGCUGCGCCUGUUCUGCCGGUGGGUCGCAGGUCCGCCUACCUUGCAGGCCUGGUUGGCAGCUCUGCCCCACCGCAGGCCACUAGGUCUGUUCUGUCGGUGGUCACAGUUCCGCCUACCUUGCAGGCGCGGGGGGAGGGGGCGGCUCUGCCCCUCAGCAGGCUGCUGCGCCUGUUCUGCCGGUGGUUCGCAGGUCUGCCUCGGGUUAUGAGAGUUUUAACCCAAUCAAUGAAUUAAUCCCCUGAUGAGAUUAGCUGGAUAGUAACUGAAAGUGGGUAAGGUGUGGCUGGAGGAGGUGGGUCCUAGAUGACAUGCCUUUAAGGUUUAUGUGUUGUAUCUGUUCAGUGGAGUCUUUCUGCUCUCUGAUCAUCAUGUGAGCUGUUUCCCCUUGCCAUACUCUUCCAGUAUGAUGUUCAGCCUCACUGGAGCCCCAAGGAAGAGCUAUCUGUCUAUAGACUGAGACCUCUGAAACCAUGAACCCUCAAAUAUUCUUUUUCUUCCCUAAAAUUGUUCUUGUCAGAUCUUUUAUUUCUAACCAUGAAAAAGCUGACUAAAACGUGUAGUUAUCAAAGAUUAUAGAAACAAAACUAAUGUUUUGACAUCAUAUUUUAAUACUUAGUUUUUUAGUAACUCUUAGGAUUUGCAAAUUCAAAUUCUGUGUGGCAAACAACACCACCCAAGACUUUCGCUCAAAACAUAUGUAGUCUAUAAAAAUAAUCCAUUUAGUAAAUAUGGUAAAAAUAGACAAGUACGAAGUAAAACAUAUUAAAAAGUGGCUAAUUCUUUAAUUCAAAAAGUGUUUAUUUCAUAAGUUGCAAUAGUAAUAAAAGUGAAUUAUAAUGUCAGGUUUUGGUUUUUCAUUUAUACUAAAUGAUUUCAUUUCUUUUAAAGGUACUGGUCUUUAAUUUAGUCUAGUUUAUUAAAGCCUUCACUGAUAGAACAGAAUAAUAGUUUUUACUUAGAACUA